rnacentral:snRNA from 1 species
UCGGCNUCUUGNCCUUUUGGCUAAGAUCAAGUGUAGCAUCUGUUCUUAUCAGUUUAAUAUCUGAUAUGUCCUCUAUCUGAGGACUUUUAAAUGGAUUUUUUGGAACUGGGAAUUUAUAAAAAAAAACCAACAAAAAACUGAGGGUCAGGAUUGUCUUCUCUAGUAUUAGUCAGC